rnacentral:rRNA from 1 species
AUGGCUGUCGUCAGCUCGUGUUGUGAAAUGUUGGGUUAAGUCCCGCAACGAGCGCAACCCUUAUCCUUUGUUGCCAGCGGUCCGGCCGGGAACUCAAAGGAGACUGCCAGUGAUAAACUGGAGGAAGGUGGGGAUGACGUCAAGUCAUCAUGGCCCUUACGACCAGGGCUACACACGUGCUACAAUGGCGCAUACAAAGAGAAGCGACCUCGCGAGAGCAAGCGGACCUCAUAAAGUGCGUCGUAGUCCGGAUUGGAGUCUGCAACUCGACUCCAUGAAGUCGGAAUCGCUAGUAAUCGUGGAUCAGAAUGCCACGGUGAAUACGUUCCCGGGCCUUGUACACACCGCCCGUCACACCAUGGGAGUGGGUUGCAAAAGAAGUAGGUAGCUUAACCUUCGGGAGGGCGCUUACCACUUUGUGAUUCAUGACUGGGGUGAAGUCGUAACAAGGUAACCGUAGGGGAACC